rnacentral:rRNA from 1 species
AUUGAACGCUGGCGGCAGGCCUAACACAUGCAAGUCGAACGAGUGGCGGACGGGUGAGUAAUGUCUGGGAAACUGCCUGAUGGAGGGGGAUAACUACUGGAAACGGUAGCUAAUACCGCAUACCAUCGGAUGUGCCCAGAUGGGAUUAGCUAGUAGGUGGGGUAAAGGCUCACCUAGGCGGCGAUCCCUAGCUGGUCUGAGAGGAUGACCGGCCACACGGGAACUGAGACACGGUCCAGAAUCCUACGGGAGGUCGCAGUUGGGAAUAUUGCAGAAUGGGCGCAAGCCUGAUGCAGUCAUGCCGCGUGUAUGAAGAAGGCCUUCGGGUUGUAAAGUACUUUCAGCGAGGAGGCGUUACCAGCAGAAGAAGCACCGGCUAACUCCGUGCCAGCAGCCGCGGUAAUUC